rnacentral:rRNA from 1 species
AGAGUUUGAUCCUGGCUCAGGAUGAACGCUGGCGGCGUGCUUAACACAUGCAAGUCGAACGAGAAAGCACCUUCGGGUGUGAGUAGAGUGGCGAACGGGUGAGUAACACGUGAGCAACCUGCCUCUCACUUCGGAAUAACUCAGGGAAACCUGUGCUAAUACCGGAUACUCCGUACAUUCCGCAUGCUAUGUACGGGAAAGCCUUGUGCGGUGAGAGAUGGGCUCGCGGCCCAUUAGGUAGUUGGUGGGGUAACGGCCUACCAAGCCAACGAUGGGUAGCCGGGUUGAGAGACCGACCGGCCACAUUGGGACUGAGACACGGCCCAGACUCCUACGGGAGGCAGCAGUGGGGAUAUUGGGCAAUGGGGGAAACCCUGACCCAGCAACGCCGCGUGAGGGAUGACGGUUUUCGGAUUGUAAACCUCUGUCCCCUGUGAAGAUAGUGACGGUAGCAGAGGAGGAAGCUCCGGCUAACUACGUGCCAGCAGCCGCGGUAAUACGUAGGGAGCAAGCGUUGUCCGGAUUUACUGGGUGUAAAGGGUGCGUAGGCGGAUUGGCAAGUCAGAAGUGAAAUCCAUGGGCUUAACCCAUGAACUGCUUUUGAAACUGUUAGUCUUGAGUGAAGUAGAGGUAGGCGGAAUUCCCGGUGUAGCGGUGAAAUGCGUAGAGAUCGGGAGGAACACCAGUGGCGAAGGCGGCCUACUGGGCUUUAACUGACGCUGAGGCACGAAAGUGUGGGUAGCAAACAGGAUUAGAUACCCUGGUAGUCCACACUGUAAACGAUGAUUACUAGGUGUGGGGGGUCUAACCCCCUCCGUGCCGGAGUUAACACAAUAAGUAAUCCACCUGGGGAGUACGACCGCAAGGUUGAAACUCAAAGGAAUUGACGGGGGCCCGCACAAGCAGUGGAGUAUGUGGUUUAAUUCGACGCAACGCGAAGAACCUUACCAGGUCUUGACAUCCAACUAACGAAGCAGAGAUGCAUUAGGUGCCCUUCGGGGAAAGUUGAGACAGGUGGUGCAUGGUUGUCGUCAGCUCGUGUCGUGAGAUGUUGGGUUAAGUCCCGCAACGAGCGCGGCCCUUGUGAUUAGUUGCUACGCAAGAGCACUCUAAUCAGACUGCCGUUGACAAAACGGAGGAAGGUGGGGACGACGUCAAAUCAUCAUGCCCUUUAUGACCUGGGCUACACACGUACUACAAUGGUCGUUAACAGAGGGAAGCAAUACCGCGAGGUGGAGCAAAACCCUAAAAACGGUCUCAGUUCAGAUUGUAGGCUGCAACUCGCCUACAUGAAGUUGGAAUUGCUAGUAAUCGCGGAUCAGCAUGCCGCGGUGAAUACGUUCCCGGGCCUUGUACACACCGCCCGUCA